UGGGAGCUGGGUAGCAGGCUCCCCGAAGAGCAAAAGAGUAAAAACAAACAAACAAACAAAAACCCAAAAGAACAACAAUCACCAAAGAGGAGAAACCUUGCAGCCAGGAGGAAAACACAGUGCCAAAUGCCCCGAAUGUCCUCAGUCACUUUGCUGGUAUAUCCUGUGCUGUAAUGAAACCUCGCGGGCACUGCCUCACGUCUGUGCAGAAGUGGUCUUUGAAGGAAUUCCAGAAACGGGAGCCACCGGAUCAUCAGCAAAGACUCAUGAGUCGGAUGUUGGGGUGAAAACCUGCUAGCUCAGAGAGGCCAAGAAGCAACCAGCUGACCUUCAUUUCUGGCUGGAGACGAAGUAAGAGCACAUCUCCCCGGCUGUCUGAAACCUAAAGGACCACGGAGCUCCAAGUCCCUGUCUACACCCUUCCCGUGUCUCUCCAUCCAUCUUCCUGGCUUCUCUGUGGCUAAUUCCUGUCUACUGGUUGCUGGCUCCACCCCCAGGACCCAGGUUGAUUUUAUUAACACGGUCUCAGAUUUCACAGUGCAAUCAAAUGUUCCAGAACACAGCUUAGCAGACAAAAGGUGACAGAGAGGGGCCAUCUAAGUCUACCUGGAAUUGUAACAUCCCAGGAUGUGGGCAGAGGCAGGUGUAGCAUCAUCUAUCACCUGAUCACUCACAGGUGACUCCAUCUUGGAUGCUUGGCUAAUACACACAUUGGUACCCAGGUUGGGAAUGUCAAUACACUCCAACAGCAGGAUGCAGAUGCUGCUGUCCAGCAGAGAUGUUCUCUAGAAGCCAGGUGGGUGGUACCUUCGCUUCCCAGCAUUAUCACAGAGAAGAUCAAUGCAUAAAGAGAAAGGCUGGCCCUGACUCAAGGCCUCAGGGUCCCGAUUCUAAUCUAUGAGUAGACUGCCCUCCUGUUGAGACUUCUGGCAGAGAUUCUACGCACCAACAGCAAGGAACACACGGAAGGCCAACUGUGCUCACCUUAUGGCUAUGCAGCUAAGGAGGAGGAGUUGGGCUGCCACAGUUCUUUGGAAAAGGUCAACCCAGCAACCUGAUGACUUCUCAUAAGGCCUCUUUUCCUGAUGAACUCCCCAGUGCCUGCAAACAGCACCCUACCCCGUAAACCAAUCCUGCAAUCAUGAGCCACUAAAGGACAUUCUGCAUGCAAACUAAGCCACGAAGCGGGUUUAGGUGAGUGUGCUAUGCAGCUGGGUACCACAGCUGGAAACAGGGUCACCAAGUCCCAGCUCAGGACCAAUCCUGCCCCCACUGAGUGUGCAUGAAAUGAUCCUGGCACAAAGUCCCCACCCUGAACACAUCGUCUCUGCUGCUUGAUGUUGCUACAGCAGAGCUGAGUCUCAGCAGCAGAGGCCCUGUGACCUACAGAGCCUAAGCCAUUGACCCAGCCGCUGACGGAAGUUUCUCCACCCAAGCUCUAGCCUAUACCGUGACUUUCUGAGAGCAGAGUCGUGUCUACCUUGUUCACAUCACGUUUCCCAGCAACUAUGGCAGUCCCUGGCAUGCCGCAUGCACCCAACCAUAUGUAUUAAUGAAUAAAUUAAGUGACUGAACGAG